rnacentral:rRNA from 1 species
UACGUAGGGUGCGAGCGUUAAUCGGAAUUACUGGGCGUAAAGCGUGCGCAGGCGGUUCGUUAAGUUCGUUGUGAAAGCCCCGGGCUCAACCUGGGAACUGCAAUGGAAACUGGCGGGCUUGAGUGUGGCAGAGGGGGGUGGAAUUCCGCGUGUAGCAGUGAAAUGCGUAGAGAUGCGGAGGAACACCGAUGGCGAAGGCAGCCCCCUGGGCCAACACUGACGCUGAGACGCGAAAGCGUGGGGAGCAAACAGG